rnacentral:sRNA from 1 species
GAGAGCAGAGGCACGUGGCAUCUCAGGGCGACCUCAGACGGCCAGCCGGUUAGCUAGUUCUGCUGUUGCUUCACGAGUUCUGAGCAUUCUCUGCUAGCCUAUGGAAGCUGCAGCCCUCGGAGGACAGAAGUGUUGUGCGCCCAACAGAACCCUCUGAGACGCAAGCUGCUCCCUUGGCUAGCUCAUAUGUGGAAAUAGCCCUGUAAUUCGAGGUUGAAGGGGCCCGGCCAGGACUCGGGGAAGGGUGGCCUGAGAGCAGCGAUGACCUCUGGGGUCACUGUCCCAGGAGGGACUUCACCUGGAACGAGAGCUGGAGGCAGCCGCUUGCCCAGGAGGCUUGUCCCCUGUAAGUGCUUUCGGGAAGAGUGGCAUGUGGCGCUGAGCCCUGUCCCGGGCGACACCUGGGCGUUUCAGUGAGUCCUGCUCUCCCGCACCUAUGGCCCCGCGGCGGGCGCCUUUCGGUGUGUGUUGGGUGCAGGGCAGCGCCUCCCGGGAGCGCCGGGUCCCCCGCCUGGAGCCCGCGCCUGUUCUCCCUCCCUCCUCCUCCUUCCAGGAGGCGCUUCGCCAGUGAGGUGCGGGCUCAGGGCCUCGAGUCUCUCCUGGAGCACGGGCUGCGGUGCGCUGGCAGCUUACGGGGCGGCCAGUCCUUGCCCACAACGAUGUGGAGCCCUGUGAAAGUCGGAUUCGAAUAAAGGGCCACGUGUGCACCCAGAAA